UACGGAGGGUGCAAGCGUUGUUCGGAAUCACUGGGCGUAAAGCGAGUGUAGGCGGCUUGAUAAGUCGGGUGUGAAAGCCCAGGGCUCAACCCUGGAACUGCGCCCGAUACUGUUAUGGCUUGAGUACGAGAGAGGGUUGCGGAAUUGUCGGUGUAGAGGUGAAAUUCGUAGAUAUCGGCAAGAACACCAGCGGCGAAGGCGGCAACCUGGUUCGAUACUGACGCUCAGACUCGAAAGCGUGGGGAGCAAA
rnacentral:rRNA from 1 species